rnacentral:misc_RNA from 1 species
GAUGAAGAACGCAGCGAAAUGCGAUAAGUACUGUGAAUUGCAGAAUUCAGUGAAUCAUCGAAUCUUUGAACGCACAUUGCGCCCAUUAGUAUUCUAUUGGGCAUGCCUGUUCGAGCGUCAUUUUGACCACUUAAGCCUGGCUUAGUGUUGGGAAUCUACUUUUGUAGUUCCUUAAAUCUAGUGGCGGAGCCGCAGUGGCCUCUGAGCGUAGUAAUUUUUUCUCGCUUUGGAAGGUUCUGUAGUUUUUGCCAUAAAACCCCCAAUUUUUUAAGGUUGACCUCGGAUCAGGUAGGAAUACCCGCUGAACUUAAGCAUAUCAAUAAGCGGAGGA